CGAUGCUUAACAUCCAAGGAGCAAAGUUUGCGAUGGAUCCCAUCAUCGGACCACUGUUUCCAGCCGAGGUUGAAAUACUGAUCCCGUGCUGAGCGGCAUGAAAGGUUCCAAUCGCAACGCUGUCUUGGUCGAACGACGCUGGCGUCUCGGCACCGAGCGAGAUGGACAGGAUGUCGACUCCAUCUUUUAUAGCGUCGUCAAAGGCAGCCAGGAUCCCGUCGUCGCUACACUUUUUGAAGAUCCAGCAGACUUUGUACACGGCGAUCCGAGCUCCCGCUGUGGACGCUGUGUGUGAUCCGUGCCCGAUCUCGUCCCUGCCGGAUUCAUAUCUCCUCUGGCUUACGCCGAGCUCGUAGUAGCGAGCUCCAAUUACUUUCCUGCGAGAACAUCCUUUCAAGUCGAACAGGAGCCAUGCAAUACGAGGAUGAGGUCCCAUGCCGGCGUCACUGAAGCUCUUGGAUUCCGGCCAAAUGCCUUCACGAAGCCAGAGUUAGAGAAAACCAGCGAGACAAGAACCAAGUGAGAGGCCUAGGAAGUCCCACGAUCUGGUAGUAUGCAGCUGGAUGUUUCUGCUGCGAAAAACGCUCACAACUCCGGGCAUUCCUGCAAGAUCAAAAGCUUCAUCCGCUGUCAGUGUUGCCGAGAAUCCACUGAAAGCAUAGUUGUAACUAUACCGGAUCUUGCUCGCUGCCAUCUCCAUGCUGGAAAUGAAGAAAAAGGAUGUCGUCUAUCAGCCAGGAGGAAAGAAAGCAAAAAAUCGCGACGAUCUUGACCGAUGCUGGCUCGAUCCCGGCUUGUUUUCCUCCCAUGUAAACAACAUAAGUCUACGAACACACAACACAGGCUCUUCCAGAUGAAGUGACGCUCAAACACAAGAGCGCUGGGAGGACGAUGAUCUUCCAGAAAUGCUGGAACGCCAUGGAGUUUCUCUUGAACAGCGCAAGCUCUUCUUUAUUCGUUCAAGCCUUGAUCAUUGGAUGCUCAGCCCAAUGGAUGAAAUUUCUUAUGCCGAUUUUAUCUUCAUGCUUAAGCUAGUUUUCUUGUUUUGUUA